GAAGUUUUCAGAGAUGAGAAUGUGCCUUCGGGAACCGUGAGACAGGUGCUGCAUGGCUGUCGUCAGCUCGUGUUGUGAAAUGUUGGGUUAAGUCCCGCAACGAGCGCAACCCUUAUCCUUUGUUGCCAGCGGUCCGGCCGGGAACUCAAAGGAGACUGCCAGUGAUAAACUGGAGGAAGGUGGGGAUGACGUCAAGUCAUCAUGGCCCUUACGACCAGGGCUACACACGUGCUACAAUGGCGCAUACAAAGAGAAGCGACGUCGCGAGAGCAAGCGGACCUCAUAAAGUGCGUCGUAGUCCGGAUUGGAGUCUGCAACUCGACUCCAUGAAGUCGGAAUCGCUAGUAAUCGUGGAUCAGAAUGCCACGGUGAAUACGUUCCCGGGCCUUGUACACACCGCCCGUCACACCAUGGGAGUGGGUUGCAAAAGAAGUAGGUAGCUUAACCUUCGGGAGGGCGCUUACCACUUUGUGAUUCAUGACUGGGGUGAAGUCGUAACAAGGUAACCGUAGGGGAACCUGCGGUUGGAUCACCUCCUUACCUUAAAGAA
rnacentral:rRNA from 1 species